rnacentral:rRNA from 1 species
CUGGCGGCGUGCCUAAUACAUGCAAGUCGAACGGUCUUUCUAUGGAAGCUUGCUUCCACUGAGAAGAUAGUGGCGAACGGGUGAGUAACACGUGGGUAACCUGCCCAUAAGAGGGGGGAUAACAUCCGGAAACGGGUGCUAAUACCGCAUAGUUUUCUUGAUUGCAUGAUUGAGAAAGGAAAGACGGCCUUUGUGCUGUCGCUUAUGGAUGGACCCGCGGCGUAUUAGUUAGUUGGUGAGGUAACGGCUCACCAAGACGAUGAUACGUAGCCGACCUGAGAGGGUGAUCGGCCACAUUGGGACUGAGACACGGCCCAAACUCCUACGGGAGGCAGCAGUAGGGAAUCUUCCGCAAUGGACGAAAGUCUGACGGAGCAACGCCGCGUGAGUGAAGAAAAGGUUUUCGGAUCGUAAAACUCUGUUGUCAGAGAAGAACAAGUUGGAGAGUAACUGCUCCAGCCUUGACGGUAUCUGACCAGAAAGCCACGGCUAACUACGUGCCAGCCGCCGC